rnacentral:rRNA from 1 species
UGCGUAGGCGGGCUAAUAAGUCAGUGGUGAAAUCUUUCGGCUCAACCGAGAAACUGCCGUUGAUACUGUUAGUCUUGAGUUCGGUUGAGGUAGGCGGAAUGUGUAAUGUAGCGGUGAAAUGCUUAGAUAUUACACAGAACACCAAUUGCGUAGGCAGCUUACUAGACCGACACUGACGCUGAGGCACGAAAGCGUGGGGAGCGAACAGGAUUAGAUACCCUGGUAGUCC